GAAUAUUGGGCAAUGGGCGAGAGCCUGACCCAGCCAUGCCGCGUGCAGGAAGACGGCCUAUUGGGUUGUAAACUGCUUUUAUACGGGAAGAAAAGGCCCAUGCGUGGGACAUUGCCGGUCCCGUAUGAAUAAGCACCGGCUACCUCCGUGCCAGCAGCCGCGGUAAUACGGAGGGCGCAAGCGUUGUCCGGAUUUAUUGGGUUUAAAGGGUGCGUAGGCGGCCAAUUAAGUCAGUGGUGAAAUCCUUCCGCUUAACGGGAGAACUGCCAUUGAAACUGGUUGGCUUGAGUACGGUUGAAGUAGGCGGAAUUUAUGGUGUAGCGGUGAAAUGCAUAGAUACCAUAAAGAACACCGAUAGCGUAGGCAGCUUACUAAGCCGUAACUGACGCUGAGGCACGAAAGCAUGGGGAGCGAACAGG
rnacentral:rRNA from 1 species